rnacentral:rRNA from 1 species
CAGUAGCCGCGGGAAUACGUAGGUGGCAAGCGUUGCCCGGAAUUAUUGGGCGUAAAGGGCUCGCAGGCGGUUUCUUAAGUCUGAUGUGAAAGCCCCCGGCUCAACCGGGGAGGGUCAUUGGAAACUGGGAAACUUGAGUGCAGAAGGGGAGAGUGGAAUUCCACGUGUAGCGGUGAAAUGCGUAGAGAUGUGGAGGAACACCAGUGGCGAAGGCGACUCUCUGGUCUGUAACUGACGCUGAGGAGCGAAAGCGUGGGGAGCGAACAGGAUUAGAGACCCCAGUAGUCCCUGUCUCUUAUAC